CCUACGGGAGGCAGCAGUGAGGAAUAUUGGUCAAUGGGCGAGAGCCUGAACCAGCCAAGUAGCGUGAAGGAUGACUGCCCUAUGGGUUGUAAACUUCUUUUAUAUGGGAAUAAAGUGCAGUAUGUAUACUGCUUUGUAUGUACCUUAUGAAUAAGGAUCGGCUAACUCCGUGCCAGCAGCCGCGGUAAUACGGAGGAUUCGAGCGUUAUCCGGAUUUAUUGGGUUUAAAGGGAGCGUAGGCGGAGUGUUAAGUCAGUUGUGAAAGUUUGCGGCUCAACCGUAAAAUUGCAGUUGAUACUGGCAUCCUUGAGUACAGUAGAGGUAGGCGGAAUUCGUGGUGUAGCGGUGAAAUGCUUAGAUAUCACGAAGAACUCCGAUUGCGAAGGCAGCCUGCUGGACUGUAACUGACGCUGAUGCUCGAAAGUGUGGGGAUCAAACAGGAUUAGAUACCCUUGUAGUC
rnacentral:rRNA from 1 species